AACGCGAAGAACCUUACCUGGGCUUGAACCGCACAGGACCAGCUCCAGAAAUGGGGCCUUCCCGCAAGGGACCUGUGUAGAGGUGCUGCAUGGCUGUCGUCAGCUCGUGCCGUGAGGUGUUGGGUUAAGUCCCGCAACGAGCGCAACCCUUACUCAUAGUUGCUACCAUUUAGUUGAGCACUCUGGUGAGACUGCCUCGGAUAACGGGGAGGAAGGCGGGGAUGACGUCAAGUCCUCAUGGCCUUUAUGUCCAGGGCUACACACGUGCUACAAUGGUCGGUACAAACCGUCGCAAACCCGCGAGGGGGAGCUAAUCGGAAAAAGCCGGCCUCAGUUCGGAUUGGAGUCUGCAACUCGACUCCAUGAAGCUGGAAUCGCUAGUAAUCGCAGAUCAGAAUGCUGCGGUGAAUACGUUCCCGGGCCUUGUACACACCGCGCAUA
rnacentral:rRNA from 1 species